rnacentral:rRNA from 1 species
UCCACGCCCUAAACGAUGAAUACUCGAUGUUGGCGAUAUACGGUCAGCGUCUAAGCGAAAGCGUUAAGUAUUCCACCUGGGGAGUACGCCCGCAAGGGUGAAACUCAAAGGAAUUGACGGGGGCCCGCACAAGCGGAGGAGCAUGUGGUUUAAUUCGAUGAUACGCGAGGAACCUUACCCGGGCUUGAAAGUUAGUGAAUAGAGCAGAGACGCUCUAGUCCUUCGGGACACGAA